GCGCAGAAGCAAACCCUAGCCUUCCCCUCUUCCUCCCCUCGGCGCCGCCAACCCUCUUCUCCUUUUCUCUUUCUCUGUGAGCACCACCGUGAGCUCCUCCACGGUGUUUCGUCGUCUCCGGCCUCCCCGCGCCAAGCCAACGCCACCGUUCGACGCGCCUUGUCCUCCUCUUCAACCUAGUGCAAGGAAUCGAGCCGGCAUCCAGUAAAUCGAGCGUAGUUCGCCGUUCCCUUCUCCGUCUCUGGCGCGGUUUCUCGCCGAUUCCGGCCGCCACGCUCUUCCCCGGCCUCCGGCGACCGCACCGUAAGCUCGCUGGUGUCGACGCCGGCGAGCUCUCCGGCGACCGCCGUCAACGGCACCGCCUCCUCCUGACCCGCGCCGGCGAGGCCCACCCGGCGCACACCCGCACGCAUCCGGGGAGGCCCUGCAACGCCGCUCUUUUCGUCGCCGCCCGCGGUGACCGCCCACUUCUGGAACGCGCUCCGCGUCGAACACCUCAUGGGCGUGCGCGCAUGGUUCGCCAGCGUGGCAUCCACGUCGACCCCCUUGGCCCCACCUGUCAGCGUCCGAGGCUAGGCCCUCCUCUGCAUUUGCUUCUUCACGGAUAGGAUCACGAGGUGUUGAUGUGAGAUACGACGAGUUCUCCGACAAGUUCUUCUGCAGCUUUCCACAGGCGAGCCCACCCCUUCACCUAUUUUACUUUUACAUGCUCUUUUGAUCUAUUGCUAUCCUUAUGUUGCGAUUCUGUUGUGUCACGUGUCCUAUCCACCUGUUACCUAUAUGUCCGAGAUACACCUCCUCGCCCUACCUAUUGUUUGUUGUUUGCCAGCUUUGCGAGUCGUAGGCGAGUUUAGGGUCUUGUUGAUACCUCGAGAUGUUCGGGAUAUCUUGUUGGGAGGUUAUCACAUGCUAUAUCUUUUGUUGGAGAUAAUCACACUUUACUUUAUUGUUAACAACUAAAAUU